AGAGACCAUAAAUAGUUUUAAAAAGUGGUUUAAAUUGUGUAUUUACUUUUUCAAUAGGAUACAUCCAUAAUUAAACCAAGAAGUUUAUGAAGAAGGGAUCACUGGAUUUUGUCACUUUGGUACAAGAAACAGAAAAGGAUAUCAUAGACCACCUUACUUAUACAGAAGCAUAGGAGCUGUUGGAGGAAAUUGCUGCCAGACAGUCAGCAGUUAUCACUGACAGCCUUCCUGGCCCAGCUUGGACCAUCCUCAAGCUAACCAUGAUGGUGUGUUUGCAAGAAUUGUCCAUUUGGUAGACCAUGAUGAAGACCAGCUUUGUUGUGGCAUGGCCUGACAAUACUUUACAAGCCAGAGACCAAAAAAAGGUUUAGUGGUGACUGAUCCUCUCACCCUCCUUAUCCAGGAAACGUUUCGGAACAACGUGUUGGCACUGAAGAUGUGGAGGACACAGAUUGAUCACAGUACAUCCUUUGGAUACAUGGACACCUUCAACGGGACGACAACAAAACUGUACCUGCCUUUUUUUGAAAGGAAGUAGUUAAUAAAUUUAUUGUUAACAGCUU